rnacentral:rRNA from 1 species
GAUGAACGCUAGCGAUAGGCCUAACACAUGCAAGUCGAGGGGCAUCACAUGAAGUAGCAAUACGGAUGGUGGCGACCGGCGCACGGGUGAGUAACACGUAUGCAACCUGCCUUCAACAAGGGGAUAACCCGUUGAAAAACGGACUAAUACCCUAUAAUACAGGGGUCCCGCAUGGGGAUAUUUGUUAAAGAUUGAUCGGUUGAAGAUGGGCAUGCGUUCCAUUAGCUGGUUGGUGAGGUAACGGCUCACCAAGGCAACGAUGGAUAGGGGAACUGAGAGGUUUAUCCCCCACACUGGUACUGAGACACGGACCAGACUCCUACGGGAGGCAGCAGUGAGGAAUAUUGGUCAAUGGACGCAAGUCUGAACCAGCCACGUCGCGUGAAGGAAGACGGCCCUACGGGUUGUAAACUUCUUUUGUAAGGGAAUAAAGUGUAGUACGCGUACUAUUUUGCAUGUACCUUACGAAUAAGGAUCGGCUAACUCCGUGCCAGCAG